GGUGGUGGAACCCCAAAACAUGGCACUGUGGCUAAAGGCAGCAUCAAAUGUGCCCCAUGCCCAGUGGAUCCCAGAGCUGUGAUUACUACUAGCUAUGUAGUUGUGAUGCUGUGGGGCCGGACUGGACCCAGCAUGAAGCAGCACAGUAGAGGGUGCAGUGGGAGCAAGAAGCAGCAGCACAGAUGAGAAGCAUCAGAGGUAAUGAUAGCAAAGCAACAGUGGCAGAGCCAUAACACCCAGCCACCCACCCACUCUUCCCCAAGACUCUCCUGACUGUGCCCCUGGAUGCUGGGACUUUGCUGACUUUGGACAACAAACGGCUUUUAUAUCACAUUCAUCACUGGAGUAUCUGAGGACCUUCCAGGAGUGCGACUUGACUACAUAGCUAUCACGUGGUGUUUGCUCUCGCAUCCUCUCCCCUGAAGGAGAAGCAUGUGGAACUCCCAUCUACGUGCUCCUGGUCACAGCCCAGCAAAGUCUGCCAAGCCACACAUGGAUUAGUUCUGCCCAUGUCUAGCAAUGACUCUCAAGGCUCCAUCCGCUCGCUGUAGAGCUUCCAGACGUAGCAUGUGGUGCCCAUAGGCGUGCUCUGCUAUAGAGACCUCUGCACAGCUCAGUCCCCUCCAAUGUUACAUCCUCAAUCGCCGCC